AUUGAACGCUGGCGGCAGGCCUAACACAUGCAAGUCGAGCGGAUGAAGGGAGCUUGCUCCUGGAUUCAGCGGCGGACGGGUGAGUAAUGCCUAGGAAUCUGCCUGGUAGUGGGGGAUAACGUCCGGAAACGGGCGCUAAUACCGCAUACGUCCUGAGGGAGAAAGUGGGGGAUCUUCGGACCUCACGCUAUCAGAUGAGCCUAGGUCGGAUUAGCUAGUUGGUGGGGUAAAGGCCUACCAAGGCGACGAUCCGUAACCGGUCUGAGAGGAUGAUCAGUCACUCUGGAACUGAGACACGGUCCAGACUCCUACGGGAGGCAGCAGUGGGGAAUAUUGGACAAUGGGCGAAAGCCUGAUCCAGCCAUGCCGCGUGUGUGAAGAAGGUCUUCGGAUUGUAAAGCACUUUAAGUUGGGAGGAAGGGCAGUAAGUUAAUACCUUGCUGUUUUGACGUUACCAACAGAAUAAGCACCGGCUAACUUCGUG
rnacentral:rRNA from 1 species